rnacentral:rRNA from 1 species
AACCUCCGCAAUGUGAGAAAUCGCGACGGGGGGAUCCCAAGUGCCAUUCUUAACGGGAUGGCUUUUCAUUAGUGUAAAGAGCUUUUGGAAUAAGAGCUGGGCAAGACCGGUGCCAGCCGCCGCGGUAACACCGGCAGCUCUAGUGGUAACAAUUUUUAUUGGGCCUAAAGCGUCCGUAGCCGGUUUAAUAAGUCUCUGGUGAAAUCCUGUAGCUUAACUGUGGGAAUUGCUGGAGAUACUAUUAGACUUGAGACCGGGAGAGGUUAGAGGUACUCCCAGGGUAGAGGUGAAAUUCUGUAAUCCUGGGAGGACCGCCUGUUGCGAAGGCGUCUAACUGGAACGGUUCUGACGGUGAGGGACGAAAGUUAGGGGCGCGAACCGGUAUUAGAUACCCGGGUAGUCCUAACUGUAAACGAUGCGGACUUGGUGUUGGGGUGGCUUUGAGCUGCUCCAGUGCCGAAGGGAAGCUGUUAAGUCCGCCGCCUGGGAAGUACGGUCGCAAGACUGAAACUUAAAGGAAUU